rnacentral:rRNA from 1 species
GACGAACGCUGGCGGCGUGCUUAACACAUGCAAGUCGAACGAGAAUCUACUGAAAGAGUUUUCGGACAAUGGAUGUAGAGGAAAGUGGCGGACGGGUGAGUAACGCGUGAGGAACCUGCCUUGAAGAGGGGGGACAACAGUUGGAAACGACUGCUAAUACCGCAUGACGCAUAGAGGUCGCAUGAUCUAUAUGCCAAAGAUUUAUCGCUUUUGGAUGGACUCGCGUCUGAUUAGAUAGUUGGUGAGGUAACGGCUCAACAAGUCGACGAUCAGUAGCCGGACUGAGAGGUUGAACGGCCACAUUGGGACUGAGACACGGCCCAGACUCCUACGGGAGGCAGCAGUGGGGAAUAUUGCGCAAUGGGGGAAACCCUGACGCAGCAACGCCGCGUGAAGGAAGAAGGCUUUCGGGUUGUAAACUUCUUUUAAGGGGGAACAGUAGAAGAGGGUACCCCUUGAAUAAGCCACGGCUAACUACGUG